rnacentral:lncRNA from 1 species
AAAGCCGACAAGUCCACGUAACCACAAGGCUGUUAACCUUGGCUUUCUCCAAUUUCGUAGGUUGCAUAGCAAGUAUCACAACACUUUAGGACUUGGUGUAGGUUGUUCCGCACUUGGCAGAGGUGAAGCUUAUCGACUAUGUAACAUGUUGGCAAUGGAUAAAACUUCGUAUAUGCGUGCUAACUUGUUUAACCUUUCAUAAGAAUAUGUGGUUGUAUAAGUCUAGCGCGGCUUUACUGCUCAAAGGGCAAGCUGUAGGCAGUUUUCCAGAAACCGUAGGCAACCUUAAUGCACUUGGUAGCAGCUUUAGGGUUCCACGGCAGCCGUCUAUAGGGUGUACUGCAUAAUGUGCCCCCUUCGUCUCUAGGGCCCGGUUCCCCACGAAUUAGGCCAAGAGACCCAAAAUCCUUCAGUUAGCUAAGCCUUGAAAAAGACCAUUAUGGCUACUUUUAGGAAUCCCGACGCAAACCAUCGUGCAUCUAGUUAUACUAAGGCAGCCAGGCUUAUCCACGUCUGGAUAUUCGAAGUGUAAAGUUUAUCCUUCCGUCUUGGAGAGCUGAACUAUAUGGGUGUCGGGGAAUUGGUUUACCCUCUCGCACUAGAGAGCAAUUAGUUUACCCUCUCGCACUGGAGAGCAUGGUUGGUCCUUCGAGGGGCAUAAUUCCUACGACAAGUCCCUAAGAAGGGCG